GAAAUGCGAUACGCAAUGCGAAUUGCAGAACCGUGAGUCAUCAGAUUUUUGAACGCAAGUGGCGGUAGUUUCGGCUAUCAUGUUUGUUUCAGUGUGCCCGGUUAAUUACAUCAUAGAAUUUAAUGUGAUUGAAGUUAAUUCUCUCACUUAAUACGGAGUAAUGUCAGUUUAUCACAUUAAACGAAGUAGUCACUAAACGGUGAUAAUCGUUGAAAUGUUGAAAAUUGGUGAAUCAUUAUUCGAAGAAAUUCUUAUCCAAUUAUGACACCUGAAAUAAGCAAGAAUACCCGCUGAACUUAA
rnacentral:misc_RNA from 1 species